GACGAACGCUGGCGGCGUGCUUAACACAUGCAAGUCGAACGGAAAGGCCCUGCUUGCAGGGUGCUCGAGUGGCGAACGGGUGAGUAACACGUGGGUGAUCUGCCCCUUACUUUGGGAUAAGCCUGGGAAACUGGGUCUAAUACUGGAUAGGACCAUGCUGUAGGUGGUGUGGUGGAAAGAUUAGUUUCGGUAAGGGAUGAGCCCGCGGCCUAUCAGCUUGUUGGUGGGGUAAUGGCCUACCAAGGCGUCGACGGGUAGCCGGCCUGAGAGGGUGGACGGCCACAUUGGGACUGAGAUACGGCCCAGACUCCUACGGGAGGCAGCAGUGGGGAAUAUUGCACAAUGGGCGCAAGCCUGAUGCAGCGACGCCGCGUGGGGGAUGACGGCCUUCGGGUUGUAAACUCCUUUCAGCCAUGACGAAGCCCUUGUGGUGACGGUAGUGGUAGAAGAAGCACCGGCUAACUACGUG
rnacentral:rRNA from 1 species